UGGAGGCAGCAGUGGGGAAUUUUGGACAAUGGGCGAAAGCCUGAUCCAGCCAUGCCGCGUGAGUGAAGAAGGCCUUCGGGUUGUAAAGCUCUUUCGGCGGGGAAGAAAUCGCACUUACUUAUACUGAGUGUGGAUGACGGUACCCGAAUAAGAAGCACCGGCUAACUACGUGCCAGCAGCCGCGGUAAUACGUAGGGUGCGAGCGUUAAUCGGAAUUACUGGGCGUAAAGCGUGCGCAGGCGGCUAUACAAGACAGGCGUGAAAUCCCCGGGCUUAACCUGGGAACUGCGUUUGUGACUGUAUGGCUAGAGUACGGCAGAGGGGGGUGGAAUUCCACGUGUAGCAGUGAAAUGCGUAGAGAUGUGGAGGAACACCGAUGGCGAAGGCAGCCCCCUGGGCCAGUACUGACGCUCAUGCACGAAAGCGUGGGGAGCAAACAGGAUUAGAUACCCCGGU
rnacentral:rRNA from 1 species